rnacentral:tRNA from 1 species
GUUUCCCUAGUGUAGCGGUUAUCACUGUCACCUCCCACAAGAAAGAUCCCUGGUUCAUAAACCCAGAUGGAAACAC